rnacentral:rRNA from 1 species
UACGGAGGGUGCAAGCGUUAUCCGGAUUCACUGGGUUUAAAGGGUGCGUAGGUGGAUUAGUAAGUCAGUGGUGAAAUCUCCGGGCUUAACCCGGAAACUGCCAUUGAUACUAUUAGUCUUGAAUACCGUGGAGGUCAGCGGAAUAUGUCAUGUAGCGGUGAAAUGCUUAGAUAUGACAUAGAAUACCCAUUGCGAAGGCAGCUAACUACGCGAUAAUUGACGCUGAUGCACGAAAGCGUGGGGAUCAAACAGG